UGGGGAAUAUUGCACAAUGGGCGCAAGCCUGAUGCAGCCAUGCCGCGUGUAUGAAGAAGGCCUUCGGGUUGUAAAGUACUUUCAGCGAGGAGGAAGGCAUUAAGGUUAAUAACCUUAGUGAUUGACGUUACUCGCAGAAGAAGCACCGGCUAACUCCGUGCCAGCAGCCGCGGUAAUACGGAGGGUGCAAGCGUUAAUCGGAAUUACUGGGCGUAAAGCGCACGCAGGCGGUUGAUUAAGUCAGAUGUGAAAUCCCCGAGCUUAACUUGGGAACUGCAUUUGAAACUGGUCAGCUAGAGUCUUGUAGAGGGGGGUAGAAUUCCAGGUGUAGCGGUGAAAGGCGUAGAGAUCUGGAGGAAUACCGGUGGCGAAGGCGGCCCCCUGGACAAAGACUGACGCUCAGGUGCGAAAGCGUGGGGAGCAAACAG
rnacentral:rRNA from 1 species